rnacentral:rRNA from 1 species
AGUUCGAUUUGCCCAGAUUGAACGCUAUUGGUGGGAUGCUUUACACAUGCAAGUCGAACGGCAAGCAUCGGACUUGGUCUGGUGGCGAGUGGCGAACGGGUGAGUAAUGUAUCGAUAACCGUGCCUAGUAGUGGGAUAACUACGCGAAAGGUAGCUAAUACCGCAUAUACCUUCGGGGGGAAAGCGGGGUACCUCUCGGCCUCAAAUUAUUAGAGCGUGGCCGAUAUCGGAUUAGCUAGCCGGGUGGGUAACGGCUCACCAAGGCGACGAUCCGUGUGCCGGUUUGAGAGGAACACCAGCCACACUGGGAUCGAGACACGGCCCAGACUCCUACGGGAGGCAGCAGUGGGGGAAUUUGACAAUGGGGAAACCCCGAUCCAGCCAUCCUGCGUGCGAUGAAGCGCCCCCGGUUGUGAAAAAGCACUUUUUUGGCAGGAAAGAAAACGGCACGGAUAAUACCCCGUGCAACUGACGGUACUGUAGAAUAAGCACCAUAAUCUGUGCCAGGCAGCCGCGGUAAUACGUAGGCGCAAGCGUUAAUCGGGAAAUUUUUCUUUUUCACUGGGCGUAAGCGCAGGCGGUUCGGAAAGAAAGAUGCAAAUCCCAGAGCUUAACUGGAACCGCAUUUUUAACUACCGAGCCAGAGUGUGUCAGAGGGAGGAAUCUGCGUGUAGCAGGCAGUCGCGUAGAUAUGCGGAGGAACACCGAUGGCGAAGGCAGCCUCCUGAUACCACUGACGCGUUUCGCCGCACGGGAAAGCGUGAGCAAACAGGAUUAGAUACCCUGGUAGUCCACGCCCCAAACGAUGUCAACCAGCUGUUGGGGCCUUCGGGCCUGCAGUAGCGCAGCUAACGCGUGAAGUUGACCGCCUGGGGAGUACGGUCGCAAGAUUAAAAACUGCUGACUGACGGGACCCGCAACAAGCGGUGGAUGAUGGGAUUAAUUGAUGCAACGGAAAACCCAAUACCCUUGACAUGUCUGGGAAUCCUGAAGGAGAUUUUGGGAGUGCCUGCAAGAGAACUGGAACACAGUGCCGGGCGACGGGCCGUCAGCUCGUGUCGUGAGAUGUUGGGUUAAGUCCUGCAACGAUGCAACCCUUGUCAUUAGUUGCUGCCGAAAGGGCACCCCAAUGAGACCGCCAGUGACAAACCGAGGAAGGUGGGGAUGACGUCAAGUCCUCAUGGCCCUUAGUGGUAGGGCUUCAGACGUCAUACAAUGGUCGGGACAGAGGGUCGCCAAACCCGCGAGGGGGGAGCCAAUCCCAGAAACCCGAUCGUAGUCCGGAUCGCAGUUCGUAACCGACUGCGUGAAGUCGGAAUCAAGUAGUAAUCGCGGAUCAGCAUUAAGGUGAAUACGUUCCCGGGUCUUGUAUACACACCGCCCGUCACACCAUGGGGAGUGGGCUUUACCAGAAGUAGUUAGCCUUAACCGCAAGGAGGGCGAUUAACAGCUUGCAGGAUUCAUGACUGGGGUGAAGCUCGUAACAAGGUA